UACAGAGGGGGCAAGCGUUGUUCGGAAUUACUGGGCGUAAAGGGCGCGUAGGCGGCCUCCUAAGUCAGACGUGAAAUCCCUCGGCUCAACCGGGGAACUGCGUCUGAUACUGGGAGGCUUGAAUCCGGGAGAGGGAUGUGGAAUUCCAGGUGUAGCGGUGAAAUGCGUAGAUAUCUGGAGGAACACCGGUGGCGAAGGCGGCAUCCUGGACCGGUAUUGACGCUGAGGAGCGAAAGCGUGGGGAGCGAACAGG
rnacentral:rRNA from 1 species